rnacentral:rRNA from 1 species
AUAUUUUAAUGUGGAAGAAUUAUUUAUAAUUGAUUUUUUGUAAUUAGACGUUAGUCGUUCUUUAUUAUAUCUAGUUUCUUAAGAAAUUAAUUUAAUUAACUGGAGUGGAAUAUUUUUGAUUGGAGAGUUAGUUUUUCAUGUCUGGAAUAUUUAAAGGGAUAAGCUUUUAAAUAGAUUUUUAUAACAGGAGAGGUCUUGAUGAUAUAUAGGAUUAGAAGUUUCCAUUUUAGUGUGUUUUUACUGAAUUUUGAGUAGGAUUGAUUUUUUUUUGUUUAAGUUUUUUAUUAGGAUAAUGACUUUAAUAGGGAGGUUUUGUAAAAAUGAUGAAAUUAGUAGAAUUAAAUGUAUUAGGAUAAUAUAGGGUUUAAUAUUAUUUUAAGGAAUUAGGCAAAUUUCUUUUCGCCUGUUUAAUAAAAACAUGGCUUUUUGUUAAUGAUAUAAAGUCAGGCCUGCCCAAUGAUAAUUUAAAUGGCUGCGGUAUACUGACCGUGCAAAGGUAGCAUAAUCAUUAGUUUCUUUAUUGGAAGCUGGAAUGAAGGGUUUAACGAGAAAGAAGCUGUCUUGAUUUAAUUAUUUGAAUUUUAUAUUUGAGUGAGAAAGCUUAAAUAAAUAUGAGGGACGAGAAGACCCUAUAGAAUUUAAUAGUUAAGUUUUAUUAGUUUUUUGGAUUAUGGAUACUGGUAUGGACAAAGACUAUUUUGUUGGGGUGAUAGGAAAAUUUAAUUAACUUUUCUUUUUUGUUUUCAUUGGUAAGUGAUUUUUUGAUCCAUUAGAAUUGAUUAUAAGAAAAAAUUACCUUAGGGAUAACAGCGUUAUUAGUCUGGAGAGUCCAAAUCGAUA